UCUUUUAUAUACUAUGAGUUAAUUUUAUUUUAUAUAUUUAUGGAAAUUUGGUAAAAAAAUAUGAAAUUUCGAAUAUAUAGUUUAUUAUAUUUAAUUUAAAUGCUAAGAUUUUUGUUUUUUUAACGGAUACCAACAUUUCAAUCCCAAAUUUGUAUCUUUGUUAUUAACUUACAAAUUCAUAUUUUUUAUCAUGAUUUUAAUUUUUUUAGUUUAUAACAUUUUUAUGAAGAAGAAUCAGAAACGUUGAUGUAAUAAAUUCAAAAAAAACUCAGUGUUAUAUAUAUAUAUAUAUAUAUAUACAUAUUUCAAAUGUUUAUAUGAUUCAAAUUUAAAUAAAACUAUUAUUAACAAUAUCAUGUAAAAUAUAUAUUUUUAACUCGUCUCAGGCCUCCAAAAAUCUUCGCACAGCACUGAUUUUGUUUGGUACAUUGCAUAUCUAUUGCUUUCGCUCGAAACGAAUUUGACUAAAAGGUUGAUUGUUUGUAGUUUUUGGAUUAGUUUUUGGUUUUUGUUUUUCCAAAAACCAUUUAGCAACCAAUCAAAAUUUUAAAAGAAUAGAUUCCCUAAAAUGUAGGAAAAUUAGUUUUUGCAAAUAACUGUUUUCUUAACACAAAAACCAAAAGCCAAGUUUUCAUAGUUUUUUUCUUAUCUUACGGUGGGUUUCCAAUUUUUUUUAAAUUGCUUUUAUUUUAUUUAUAUUUUAAUAUAAGAAAAAAAUAAAAAAUGAUAAUUACUGUAAUCAAAAAAGGUUUAGUAAGAUUCAUUUUCUUACUAUUGGUACUAUUUAUUAAAAUUCGUGAUAUAUAUUCUUGUAUUAAUUUUUUUUAAACAAGAAAUAAACUUCUAAAAUAAUUUUUUUUAAUAUCAGACCAAAAAAUCAUUAAUCCAAUUUUUGAGAAACCAGAAGGAUAAUAAAGUUUUAAAUUCCGAAUUCAAAAUAUAUUUAUAAUUUUAUACAGUACUUUCCUGAACUUAUAAAAGUACAUUUAAAUUUUAUUUAGUAUAUUUAAAUAAACUAGCUAUUGAUAUUUUUAUUUAUAAUAAUAUGUGAUUUAUAAAAUAUUUUAAAAAUACAACUAUUUUUUUUAACUUUUUAAUUAUGUAUUUUCAUUUUUGAACUGCAGUAAUUAUGUUGUCAUAUAUAUAUAUCAGAAUGGGGGAAUUUUACUUCUACACUUUCUUUGGUACCACAUUUCAAGUAUACCACUAGUAUGAAGACAUUUUCAAAAAAUACACUUUUCAUUAAUGACCAAAAGACCAUACUAGCCCUAACCUUAUCUCUCUCUCGCGAUCCUCUUUUCUUUCUCUCUCUCUCGCGAUCUUUUUUCUUCCUCUCUGCCUCCGAUUCACCGGAGAUCCACCAUCUCUCUCUCAUUCCACCGGUUCUCUGCGGUUCACUCUGCGGUUCACUCUGUCGACUCCUACUUCUGUACAAGAUUCCCAACUGGUAUGCAUCUAAUUUCUCCUUUUUUUGUUUGUGUCGAUUAAUUUUGCGAAAUUUCGAUUUUGUGGUUACUAUAGUCGAAAAUCAAACAAGAUUGCUUUAGACUUCUAAUCUGUACAUGUCGAUCUAAGAUAAACAAUUCUGAUUGUGAAAACAUUGAGUUUUGACAACUUAAGACCCUUUAUAACCCUUUGUAAAUCUGAGUUAUUUUGUAAUGUAAUUGAUAUGUUCAGUUCCUGAGAAGCUGUGUUCAAGCUUAUAUGAGAGCCACAAUCCUGCCAGCACACAUUUGCUUUAAUUGUUGGUGAAUGGUCGAUUCACAAUAAGAAAGUUGGCAGAAUCUGAAAGUUUUGUUUUUGGUUCUGCGUUUCUUAACAGUUGUGACUUACGUGUCUGUCUAGUACUCAAUGUAGCUCAAUAUGUUAAUUAUUUACUCUAAUCUCUUGCUUGUUUCUUGACCAUAAUACAACAAACAGAGCGGUAGAAUCCAAUGAGAUGUGGAAGACUCAGGAGCAAGAAAACGAAAGGCUCAAAAUAAAAUCAAGAGAGGAAAGCAGCAACAGCAGUAGCCAAAUGAAGUGGAGUAGUAGUUUCUCGAAAAGGAGUUUGGAUAAGAAAUGUAGCUCCAUUAACGAGGAGAGAAAGAUCACUCAUCAAUCAUCAUUGGACAAAAGAUUGUACUUGGAUGAUGAUGAUGAAGGUUUAGGAGAUGAUGAGAAUUGAGUCUUUUCUCCAAUCACGGAACAAACGUGGGAGAGGCUCUGUUGGUCCUAGGAUGGAUGAAAAUGUCCCUUAUCUUCCCACCGAGAAGGUUGAUCAAUUGCAAAGUUCUGAUACAAGGGAAAGGAAGGUAGUCUUGCUGCAGCUUGGGCUCUAGCUAAUCUAUAUUAUCUUGCAUGUUAGAAAGCUCUUAUAAGGGUUUAUAAAACUAUUUAUAAGAACUUAUAAAUCAUUUUUAAGGUUUUAAAAAUAUAUUUAUAAAAGUUUAUGAAUCUGUAUAUAAGGUUUGUAAAAAUAUUAUAAGAGUUUAAUAAUCUUCAUAACACAAUUUAUAAGAGUUAAUAAAUCUUUUUCAAGAGUUUAUAAAUCUUUACAAACAUUUAGAAGUAAAAUAUUCAUAAAGCUAUUAUAAGUGUCUAUAAUUCUAAUAUAAAUGUUUGUAAAUUAUUUAUAGUAAAUAAAAGAUUAUUUAUAAUGGUUUAUAAAACAAUUAAUAAGACUUUAUAAAAUCAGUCUAUAAGGUUUUUUAAAUAUAUUAUUAAAGUAUAAUUCAUUUAUAAGAGUUUAUAAAAUCCGUUUAUAAGGAUUAUAAAUAAUUAAUAAAUGUUUAUGAAUGAUUUAUGAAGAUUUAGAAAUCAUUUAUAAAUAUUUAUCAAUAGUUUAUAUAUAUUCCUCAUGUGGUGGAAAACAGCAAGAUGAUGUAGCAGAGGUUUGUGGGGAUAUUGAGUUUGCUGUAUAGUUCAUAGCUAAGAAUAAGAGCGAGUGUCUCCAAGAAGAAUGGGGAGUGUUGGGGAAGUCUCCGGAGGCGGCUUUAGAUGUGGAUCAGACGAUCUUCGUGGUUACGGCGGAAGACGUGGAGAGGAGCAAAAGACGGUGUUAUGGGCAGCAAGAAACUUCUCCAGCAAGAAGAUUUGCUUGCUUUACGUCCAUCGUCCUGCUUGGCCUGCCUCCUGCAGUGAGAAUCUUAUGCUUCUCUUUCUCUCUGACUUAACUAUUUUGUGGUGAAUUAUAGAAUAUUUAUGGAUGUUGAAUUGUUCUUGAGUGUAGAUUUGCUCAUGAAUCAUGAUUGAAUCUUACCGAGUCUAUAUAUAUAUCCUUUAGUUGAUUGUGGAUGAUGUUAAUGAUGUACCUCUGUUUGCUAAGAAAAUCUGAGAAAUGAUAUAAUUGUUUUAUAAA